rnacentral:rRNA from 1 species
AGUGAACGCUGGCGGUAGGCCUAACACAUGCAAGUCGAACGGCAGCACAGUAAGAGCUUGCUCUUACGGGUGGCGAGUGGCGGACGGGUGAGGAAUACAUCGGAAUCUACUUUUUCGUGGGGGUUAACGUAGGGAAACUUACGCUAAUACCGCAUACGACCUACGGGUGAAAGCAGGGGAUCUUCGGACCUUGCGCGAUUGAAUGAGCGGAUGUCGGAUUAGCUAGUUGGCGGGGUAAAGGCCCACCAUGGCGACGAUCCGUAGCUGGUCUGAGAGGAUGAUCGGCCACACUGGAACGGAGACACGGACCAGGCGCCUACGAGAGGCAGCAGUCGGGAAUAGGGGACAAUGGGCGCAAGCCUGAUCCAGCCAUACCGCGUGGGUGAAGGAGGCCUUCGGGUUGUAAAGCCCUUUUGUUGGGAAAGAAAAGCAGCAGGUUAAUACCCCGCUGUUCUGACGGUACCCAAAGAAUAAGCACCGGCUAACUUCGUG